rnacentral:rRNA from 1 species
UGGGGAAUUUUGGACAAUGGGGGAAACCCUGACCCAGCAACGCCGCGUGAAGGAUGAAGUAUUUCGGUAUGUAAACUUCGAAAGAAUAGGAAGAAUAAAUGACGGUACUAUUUAUAAGGUCCGGCUAACUACGUGCCAGCAGCCGCGGUAAUACGUAGGGACCAAGCGUUGUUCGGAUUUACUGGGCGUAAAGGGCGCGUAGGCGGCAUGACAAGUCACUUGUGAAAUCUCUGGGCUUAACCCAGAACGGCCAAGUGAUACUGUCGCGCUAGAGUGCAGAAGGGGCAAUCGGAAUUCUUGGUGUAGCGGUGAAAUGCGUAGAUAUCAAGAGGAACACCUGAGGUGAAGACGGGUUGCUGGGCUGACACUGACGCUGAGGCGCGAAAGCCAGGGGAGCAAACGGGAUUAGAUACCCCCGUAGUCCCUGAGCGGGCUGGCAAGGCGCAU